UGCCGCGUGGAGGAUUAAGGCCCUCUGGGUUGUAAACUCCUUUUAUCUGGGAAGAAAUGUUUCGAUUCUUCGGAACUUGACGGUACCAGAGGAAUAAGCACCGGCUAACUCCGUGCCAGCAGCCGCGGUAAUACGGAGGGUGCAAGCGUUAUCCGGAUUCACUGGGUUUAAAGGGUGCGUAGGCGGGCAGGUAAGUCAGUGGUGAAAUCUCCGAGCUUAACUCGGAAACUGCCGUUGAUACUAUUUGUCUUGAAUAUUGUGGAGGUAAGCGGAAUAUGUCAUGUAGCGGUGAAAUGCUUAGAUAUGACAUAGAACACCAAUUGCGAAGGCAGCUUACUACUCAAUUAUUGACGCUGAGGCACGAAAGCGUGGGGAUCAAACAGGAUUAGAUACCCUGGUAGUCCACGCCCUAAACGAUGAUUACUCGACAU
rnacentral:rRNA from 1 species